rnacentral:rRNA from 1 species
GACAUACAAGUAGUAGGAAGGAAACUGGACCGACCCUUCGGGGAGCUUGUACAGGUGCUGCAUGGCUGUCGUCAGCUCGUGUCGUGAGAUGUUCGGUUAAGUCCGCUAACGAGCGCAACCCUCGCUGUGUGUUACAAGUGUCACACGGAACUGCCGGUCAUAAACCGGAGGAAGGUGGGGAUGACGUCAAGUCAGCAUGGCCUUUAUAUCCUGGGCUACACACACGCUACAAUGGGAAGGGACAAUAGGUUGCGAAGCCGCGAGGCGGAGCCAAUCCAGCAAAACUUCCCUCAGUUCAGAUUGCAGGCUGCAAUCUGCCUGCAUGAAGUUGGAGUUGCUAGUAAACGCAGGUCAGCCAUACUGCGUUGAAUACGUUCCCGGGGCUU